rnacentral:ncRNA from 1 species
CAUUGGUGAGAAUCCAAUGCCCGAAAACCCAAGGUUUCCUCCACAAGGUUCGUCCAUGGAGGGUGAGUCAAGGCCUAAGAUCAGGCCGAAAGGCGUAGUCGAUGGACAACAGGUCAAUAUUCAUGUACUACCCCUUGUUGGUACGGAGGGACGGAGGAGGCUAGGUUAGCCGAAAGAUGGUUAUAGGUUUAAGGACACAAGGUAACCCUGCUUUUUCAGGGUAAGAAGGGGUAGAGAAAAUGCCUUGAGCCGAGGUCCAAGUACCAAGCACUGCAGCGCUGAAGUAUGAGCCCCGUGGACUAGCGAUUGCUUCUCCACGAGGCUCAUACUAGGCGCUAUGGCG